CAGAUCGAUGCAAAUUAUUCUCGUGCGCCCGUCACAAGUAUUUAUUUCGAUGCGGAGCAAUACAGUGCUUUCAAUUUUUGGAGGUCCAGCUACAGUACUUACGUGGCUGAAUGUUGGUAAAGUUGAUCCUCACGUAGGUGUCACGAUGUGGACGCGUGUGUUCGUGGUAGAAUCAGCGGUGUGCAUUAGUUCGUGCAUGGCUACUCCUGGCCUAGAAGUGGUGAGACAUUGAUCAUCGAGACUUACUUGUUGUUCUGAAAUCCCUAGCAUGCCAACGUAACUCCAAUAACUUAGUAGUUUGAGAAAGGAUUAGUCCAGUUAUGAGAAUAACGAUUACAAAAAAACCC